GCCUACGGGGGGCAGCAGUAGGGAAUCUUCCACAAUGGGCGAAAGCCUGAUGGAGCAACGCCGCGUGGGUGAAGAAGGUCUUCGGAUCGUAAAACCCUGUUGUUAGAGAAGAAAGUGCGUGAGAGUAACUGUUCACGUUUCGACGGUAUCUAACCAGAAAGCCACGGCUAACUACGUGCCAGCAGCCGCGGUAAUACGUAGGUGGCAAGCGUUAUCCGGAUUUAUUGGGCGUAAAGGGAACGCAGGCGGUCUUUCAAGUCUGAUGUGAAAGCCUUCGGCUUAACCGGAGUAGUGCAUUGGAAACU
rnacentral:rRNA from 1 species